rnacentral:rRNA from 1 species
UAAAUCUCGUGCCAGCAACCGCGGUUAGACGAGUGAACCCUAGUUGAUAGAUACGGCGUAAAGGGUGGUUAGGGAAAUAAAACCAAUAAAGUUAAACAUUCUCCAAAUUGUUAUACAUCACUUCGAGCAUAUGAAACCCACUCACGAAAGUAACUUUAAUCCCCCCGACCCCACGAAAGCUAAGAAACAAACUAGGAUUAGAUACCCCAC